GGAAGAGGAAGAGAAGCUGAAGUUCGUGUUUUUGGAGUGGUUGGUGAAAUUUUGUUGGGCGGAGAAGAAAGAUAAAGAAAGAAGAGAGAGGAAUUUGGAAUCGGUGGGUCUACGAGUAUCGAAGAGAAGAAGAAACAAUCGAUUGAAUCGAAAAAUGUCGCUAACGAGCGUGAAAAUGUCGGAAGAAGUGUGGUUAAGUUGCCUCACUCAUGCAUUGUCCACUGAAACCGAAGAGAUUAUGGGUCUUCUUUUUGGGGACAUUCAGCAUUCGAAAAACGGGA
rnacentral:sRNA from 1 species